GAUGAACGCUAGCUACAGGCUUAACACAUGCAAGUCGAGGGGUAGCAUGGUCUUAGCUUGCUAAGGCCGAUGGCGACCGGCGCACGGGUGAGUAACACGUAUCCAACCUGCCGUCUACUCUUGGACAGCCUUCUGAAAGGAAGAUUAAUACAAGAUGGCAUCAUGAGUCCGCAUGUUCACAUGAUUAAAGGUAUUCCGGUAGACGAUGGGGAUGCGUUCCAUUAGAUAGUAGGCGGGGUAACGGCCCACCUAGUCUUCGAUGGAUAGGGGUUCUGAGAGGAAGGUCCCCCACAUUGGAACUGAGACACGGUCCAAACUCCUACGGGAGGCAGCAGUGAGGAAUAUUGGUCAAUGGGCGAGAGCCUGAACCAGCCAAGUAGCGUGAAGGAUGACUGCCCUAUGGGUUGUAAACUUCUUUUAUAAAGGAAUAAAGUCGGGUAUGCAUACCCGUUUGCAUGUACUUUAUGAAUAAGGAUCGGCUAACUCCGUGCCAGCAGCCGCGGUAAUACGGAGGAUCCGAGCGUUAUCCGGAUUUAUUGGGUUUAAAGGGAGCGUAGAUGGAUGUUUAAGUCAGUUGUGAAAGUUUGCGGCUCAACCGUAAAAUUGCAGUUGAUACUGGAUAUCUUGAGUGCAGUUGAGGCAGGCGGAAUUCGUGGUGUAGCGGUGAAAUGCUUAGAUAUCACGAAGAACUCCGAUUGCGAAGGCAGCCUGCUAAGCUGCAACUGACAUUGAGGCUCGAAAGUGUGGGUAUCAAACAGGAUUAGAUACCCUGGUAGUCCACACGGUAAACGAUGAAUACUCGCUGUUUGCGAUAUACAGCAAGCGGCCAAGCGAAAGCGUUAAGUAUUCCACCUGGGGAGUACGCCGGCAACGGUGAAACUCAAAGGAAUUGACGGGGGCCCGCACAAGCGGAGGAACAUGUGGUUUAAUUCGAUGAUACGCGAGGAACCUUACCCGGGCUUAAAUUGCAGAUGAAUUACGGUGAAAGCCGUAAGCCGCAAGGCAUCUGUGAAGGUGCUGCAUGGUUGUCGUCAGCUCGUGCCGUGAGGUGUCGGCUUAAGUGCCAUAACGAGCGCAACCCUUGUUGUCAGUUACUAACAGGUUCCGCUGAGGACUCUGACAAGACUGCCAUCGUAAGAUGUGAGGAAGGUGGGGAUGACGUCAAAUCAGCACGGCCCUUACGUCCGGGGCUACACACGUGUUACAAUGGGGGGUACAGAGGGCCGCUACCACGCGAGUGGAUGCCAAUCCCAAAAACCUCUCUCAGUUCGGACUGGAGUCUGCAACCCGACUCCACGAAGCUGGAUUCGCUAGUAAUCGCGCAUCAGCCACGGCGCGGUGAAUACGUUCCCGGGCCUUGUACACACCGCCCGUCAAGCCAUGGGAGCCGGGGGUACCUGAAGUGCGUAACCGCGAGGAG
rnacentral:rRNA from 1 species